AAAGGUGUGCUAAUACCGGAUACGUUGAGUAAUCAAGAAAGGUGGCCUCUGAAUAUGCUACCGUGCUGAGAUGAGCUUGCGUACCAUUAGCUAGUUGGUAGGGUAAUGGCCUACCAAGGCGACGAUGGUUAGCGGGUCUGAGAGGAUGAUCCGCCACACUGGAACUGGAACACGGACCAGACUCCUACGGGAGGCAGCAGUGAGGAAUAUUGCGCAAUGGGGGCAACCCUGACGCAGCGACGCCGCGUGGAUGAUGAAGGCCUUCGGGUCGUAAAAUCCUGUCAGGUGGAAAGAAGUGCAUGGUGGCUAAUACCUGCUGUGCUUGACGGUACCACCGAAGGAAGCACCGGCUAACUCCGUGCCAGCAGCCGCGGUAAUACGGAGGGUGCAAGCGUUGUUCGG
rnacentral:rRNA from 1 species